rnacentral:rRNA from 1 species
CCUACGGGUGGCAGCAGUGAGGAAUAUUGGUCAAUGGCCGGAAGGCUGAACCAGCCAUGCCGCGUGAAGGUCAGUGCCCUAUGGGCGUUAAACUUCUUUUGUGCGGGAGCAAUAAUGGUCACGUGUGGCCAGACGAGAGUGCCGUACGCAUAAGCAUCGGCUAACUCCGUGCCAGCAGCCGCGGUAAUACGGGGGAUGCAAGCGUUAUCCGGGUUUAUGGGGUUUAAAGGGUGCGUAGGCGGUGAGGUAAGUCAGCGGUGAAAUGCCGCCGCUUAACGGGGUGAAGUGCCAUUGAUACUGCCUUGCUGGAAUGCGGAUGCCGUGGGAGGAAUGUGUGGUGUAGCGGUGAAAUGCAUAGAGAUCACACAGAACACCGAUUGCGAAGGCAUCUCACGAAUCCGCGAUUGACGCUGAUGCACGAAAGCGUGGGUAGCAAACAGGAUUAGAUACCCUAGUAGUC